rnacentral:lncRNA from 1 species
GGACAACUAGGGAUUGUUGGAAGACGUCACUCAAGGAGGAUACUUAUUUGGCGAUUUCAGAUUUCAGAGAACAGUGGUUUGAAUUAUUUAACACAUUUUCCAGAGCAGAAAGAUAUUCAUUCAUUCAAUGAAAUUCAUUUCAUUGUAGCAGUACUAAGUGCUGUGACAAAAGAGCAUGAUGUCUUUACACGAGGGUCUAAGAAAGCCUAGAAAUGUGUAUACAAAAAAGGGAAAAGAAUCAAAAAUAGCAUUUCAGUAGAAGAUAAGAAAUUCGAGCAUCUCCUUCUUUCUAACUAGUACUGCUCCAAACUUAAGCAGACAGGUGCUUGUGAUGAGUACUCUGUGGUGACACGUACCACCUGAGAAUGUGGUUGCUGACAGUUGCUAGGGAGAAGCUCAUGGAAACCAACAGAACCAAGGCAAGGAAUGUGGAGCUCUGAGAUGGUGAAGAGAAUGGAUGCAGGCAAAAAGCGAUGGAGGAGAGAUCUACACAUGCAGAUGAGGUACCAUACUUGGAUUGGAAUUGUUUACCAAUGUCGGUGGAUCAGAGGCCCGGGUGUUAAUCAAGAAAGAAUGAAGGGUCACAGUAUGCUUCACCAAAGAAAACAUAUUUGCCAGAAGAUACUGUGGACAGCAAACCUCUAUUGUGGAAGAACACUAUUUCUUGAGAUAAAUGCAGUGCUUUGUGCGGAACGUUGGGGUCACUAAACUUACCUAGUUUAUUCCAUCAAAUUAAAAUAUAUCUGCAGAGUAUCCCGGCAAUUUUGGUCUCAUUUAUCAGUGUGUAUGAAUUCUUUUGCUAUAGCAUCCUGUUGGCUCUUGUGCAAUAAUGCAAUUCUUCAGCCACUGUAUUCUAGUACCAUUUUAUGUCUAAGAGGUCAG